UUGAACGCUUGCGGCAGGCCUCACACAUGCAAGUCGAGCGGAUGAAGGGAGCUUGCUCCUGGAUUCAGCGGCGGACGGGUGAGUAAUGCCUAGGAAUCUGCCUGGUAGUGGGGGAUAACGUCCGGAAACGGGCGCUAAUACCGCAUACGUCCUGAGGGAGAAAGUGGGGGAUCUUCGGACCUCACGCUAUCAGAUGAGCCUAGGUCGGAUUAGCUAGUUGGUGGGGUAAAGGCCUACCAAGGCGACGAUCCGUAACUGGUCUGAGAGGAUGAUCAGUCACACUGGAACUGAGACACGGUCCAGACUCCUACGGGAGGCAGCAGUGGGGAAUAUUGGACAAUGGGCGAAAGCCUGAUCCAGCCAUGCCGCGUGUGUGAAGAAGGUCUUCGGAUUGUAAAGCACUUUAAGUUGGGAGGAAGGGCAGUAAGUUAAUACCUUGCUGUUUUGACGUUACCAACAGAAUAAGCACCGGCUAACUUCGUG
rnacentral:rRNA from 1 species